rnacentral:rRNA from 1 species
AGGUCUUUUAAGCAUAUCACUAAGCGGAGGAAAAGAAACUAACCAGGAUUCCCUUAGUAACGGCGAGUGAACAGGGAAAAGCCCAGCACCGAAGCCUGUGGUCGUUUGGCCCCUAGGCAAUGUGGUGUUCAGGUUAGCUCGCGAAGAUGCUGCUCCACCCUAAGUCCUAUAAUGAGUAAGGUUACUCGGACAUGGCCCAAUGAGGGUGAAAGGCCCGUGGGGGUGGAGAUUCAGAAUGGCCAGUAUCUUCCUGAGCGGACCUUGGAGUCGGGUUGUUUGUGAAUGCAGCCCAAAGCGGGUGGUAAACUCCAUCCAAGGCUAAAUACUAGCACGAGUCCGAUAGCGAACAAGUACCGUGAGGGAAAGUUGAAAAGUACUUUGAAGAGAGAGUAAACAGUGCGUGAAACCGUUCAGAGGUAAACAGGUGGAGUUGAACUGCAAGCUCUGAGGAUUCAGCUGGUGAGUAUGGCAUGAGCUUGGUCAUAUUGGUUGUGUGCUCGGGUCUGCUUAGCUGCAGGUCUCCGCUUCGGUGGGGAUGCGCGAAUCACUCAUCAGGUGUUGUGCGCCCGGGUACUGACGGACCUGCUUGCCAGUGCACUUUCUCAGAGUGUUCACCACGACCGACGUUGCUGUCUGGCUGUUGCGGUUAAACCGGCUUGGUAGGGUCCUUGUGUCCUUGCUAGGUCGGGAUGGCAGGUAGCCCGUUGUGCGAUUUAUCGUGCUUUGGGUGUAAUAGCCGACUGCUUCGGUUCUGUGCGGUACGUCGGAGACGGCGGCUUGUUGUGCGUGCGGGCGUGCCUGUCGCGCCGGCGGCUCUGGGUCUGGUUGCCUUGUUGCUUGUAAUGCAGGCCAGGUGAUGGCUCGGUGUCGUUCGGUCGGCGGUUGCGUUUGUUGCACUUUGAAAGGGCCCACAGUCUGUGGUGUAGUGGUAGACUAUCCACCUGACCCGUCUUGAAACACGGACCAAGGAGAGUAAACUGUGCGCGAGUCAUUGGGCGUUACGAAACCCAAAGGCGCAGUGAAAGUGAAGGCUCGGCUUGUCUGGGCUGAGGUGAGAUCCUGUCGUUUCUCAUGCGCGGUACUACCAAGCUUCGAGCGGCAGGCGCAUCACCGGCCCGUCCCAUGGCGUAGAGGCAGCCUCGUGCUUGCUCAUCGUCGGGGCGGAGCAUGAGCGUACAUGUUGAGACCCGAAAGAUGGUGAACUAUGCUUGCGCAGGUUGAAGCCAGAGGAAACUCUGGUGGAGGACCGCAGCGAUUCUGACGUGCAAAUCGAUCGUCAAACGUGAGUAUAGGGGCGAAAGACUAAUCGAACCAUCUAGUAGCUGGUUCCCUCCGAAGUUUCCCUCAGGAUAAGCA